UUCAGAUUCAAUGAGUUGUUAAUUUAAUUAACAGGCUCAUAACCUGAAGGUCGUCAGUUCAAAUCUGGCCCCCGCAACCA
rnacentral:tRNA from 1 species